UCUGUAUCUCUGCACACUGAGAGUCAGUUAACAGUCUGGCUGAGCCUUCAACUGGUCAGGAUGGAUCUUCCUGCUAGGUCAAGAUGAGUGUUGAAGGCAGGCUGGAUCCUGCAACUGCCCAUGUGUGCCACAUGUACCCAACAUAUAGCAAAAUGCAUGCAUAGAUAUUCCUUACACUGGAUGAUGCAGACUCAGAAGAAAGGUCAUACCAGCUGAAAGAUUCUGGAACGUGUAAUCUUAACUUUUCUGAAGUCCAUGGUGAGGUACAGUAUAUAUGGUUUGCAGUAUGUUCCAGAUUUGAUCUGCAAAAGGGGGGCCCUGCAACCUCAGGAGACAUUUAAAAUCCUUAACAUUUCAGAAGCAGGAGCCUGAAGAAUACCGUCACCAAGUGCCUUCUCCAACCUAAACCAGACUGCUGAAGAUGUUUGUCUCUCAGUAGCACAUUUUAUCCUCAUGCAGACACUAUACACUGCUUCUCGUUAGCACACUAGAACUGGAGUCUCUACAGUUCUCGUGUGCUAGUGUAAGUCCAAUAGACUGUUUGAUUCAGCCCAAUGAGUGGGGAAAUCCUAUGAGGGGGUUGUGAGUCAGGAUCUGAGUUAGAAAGAGCCGGAGAGGCAGGCGCUCCAUCCUAUGAGAAGGCUGAAGUCGUUACCACCUUGGGUUAGGUAGCAGAAUGUUUAUGCAAAAGGGGGGCCACUGGAAUCCGCAUCGUGACCUUAUGUAUUUGCAUUUUAUUUUAGAGUUUUAGAAACAGUCUAUUUAGAGCUGAUUCCUUGAUGUUGUGGA